rnacentral:rRNA from 1 species
UUAAGCGACUAAGCGUACACGGUGGAUGCCCUGGCAGUCAGAGGCGAUGAAGGACGUGCUAAUCUGCGAUAAGCGUCGGUAAGGUGAUAUGAACCGUUAUAACCGGCGAUUUCCGAAUGGGGAAACCCAGUGUGUUUCGACACACUAUCAUUAACUGAAUCCAUAGGUUAAUGAGGCGAACCGGGGGAACUGAAACAUCUAAGUACCCCGAGGAAAAGAAAUCAACCGAGAUUCCCCCAGUAGCGGCGAGCGAACGGGGAGGAGCCCAGAGCCUGAAUCAGUGUGUGUGUUAGUGGAAGCGUCUGGAAAGGCGCGCGAUACAGGGUGACAGCCCCGUACACAAAAAUACACAUAUUGUGAGCUCGAUGAGUAGGGCGGGACACGUGGUAUCCUGUCUGAAUAUGGGGGGACCAUCCUCCAAGGCUAAAUACUCCUGACUGACCGAUAGUGAACCAGUACCGUGAGGGAAAGGCGAAAAGAACCCCGGCGAGGGGAGUGAAAAAGAACCUGAAACCGUGUACGUACAAGCAGUGGGAGCACGCUUAGGCGUGUGACUGCGUACCUUUUGUAUAAUGGGUCAGCGACUUAUAUUCUGUAGCAAGGUUAACCGAAUAGGGGAGCCGAAGGGAAACCGAGUCUUAACUGGGCGUUAAGUUGCAGGGUAUAGACCCGAAACCCGGUGAUCUAGCCAUGGGCAGGUUGAAGGUUGGGUAACACUAACUGGAGGACCGAACCGACUAAUGUUGAAAAAUUAGCGGAUGACUUGUGGCUGGGGGUGAAAGGCCAAUCAAACCGGGAGAUAGCUGGUUCUCCCCGAAAGCUAUUUAGGUAGCGCCUCGUGAAUUCAUCUCCGGGGGUAGAGCACUGUUUCGGCAAGGGGGUCAUCCCGACUUACCAACCCGAUGCAAACUGCGAAUACCGGAGAAUGUUAUCACGGGAGACACACGGCGGGUGCUAACGUCCGUCGUGAAGAGGGAAACAACCCAGACCGCCAGCUAAGGUCCCAAAGUCAUGGUUAAGUGGGAAACGAUGUGGGAAGGCCCAGACAGCCAGGAUGUUGGCUUAGAAGCAGCCAUCAUUUAAAGAAAGCGUAAUAGCUCACUGGCCGAGUCGGCCUGCGCGGAAGAUGUAACGGGGCUAAACCAUGCACCGAAGCUGCGGCAGCGACGCUUAUGCGUUGUUGGGUAGGGGAGCGUUCUGUAAGCCUGCGAAGGUGUGCUGUGAGGCAUGCUGGAGGUAUCAGAAGUGCGAAUGCUGACAUAAGUAACGAUAAAGCGGGUGAAAAGCCCGCUCGCCGGAAGACCAAGGGUUCCUGUCCAACGUUAAUCGGGGCAGGGUGAGUCGACCCCUAAGACGAGGCCGAAAGGCGUAGUCGAUGGGAAACAGGUUAAUAUUCCUGUACUUGGUGUUACUGCGAAGGGGGGACGGAGAAGGCUAUGUUGGCCGGGCGACGGUUGUCCCGGUUUAAGCGUGUAGGCUGGUUUUCCAGGCAAAUCCGGAAAAUCAAGGCUGAGGCGUGAUGACGAGGCACUACGGUGCUGAAGCAACAAAUGCCCUGCUUCCAGGAAAAGCCUCUAAGCAUCAGGUAACAUCAAAUCGUACCCCAAACCGACACAGGUGGUCAGGUAGAGAAUACCAAGGCGCUUGAGAGAACUCGGGUGAAGGAACUAGGCAAAAUGGUGCCGUAACUUCGGGAGAAGGCACGCUGAUAUGUAGGUGAAGUCCCUUGCGGAUGGAGCUGAAAUCAGUCGAAGAUACCAGCUGGCUGCAACUGUUUAUUAAAAACACAGCACUGUGCAAACACGAAAGUGGACGUAUACGGUGUGACGCCUGCCCGGUGCCGGAAGGUUAAUUGAUGGGGUCAGCGCAAGCGAAGCUCUUGAUCGAAGCCCCGGUAAACGGCGGCCGUAACUAUAACGGUCCUAAGGUAGCGAAAUUCCUUGUCGGGUAAGUUCCGACCUGCACGAAUGGCGUAAUGAUGGCCAGGCUGUCUCCACCCGAGACUCAGUGAAAUUGAACUCGCUGUGAAGAUGCAGUGUACCCGCGGCAAGACGGAAAGACCCCGUGAACCUUUACUAUAGCUUGACACUGAACAUUGAGCCUUGAUGUGUAGGAUAGGUGGGAGGCUUUGAAGUGUGGACGCCAGUCUGCAUGGAGCCGGCCUUGAAAUACCACCCUUUAAUGUUUGAUGUUCUAACGUGGACCCGUGAUCCGGGUUGCGGACAGUGUCUGGUGGGUAGUUUGACUGGGGCGGUCUCCUCCUAAAGAGUAACGGAGGAGCACGAAGGUUGGCUAAUCCUGGUCGGACAUCAGGAGGUUAGUGCAAUGGCAUAAGCCAGCUUGACUGCGAGCGUGACGGCGCGAGCAGGUGCGAAAGCAGGUCAUAGUGAUCCGGUGGUUCUGAAUGGAAGGGCCAUCGCUCAACGGAUAAAAGGUACUCCGGGGAUAACAGGCUGAUACCGCCCAAGAGUUCAUAUCGACGGCGGUGUUUGGCACCUCGAUGUCGGCUCAUCACAUCCUGGGGCUGAAGUAGGUCCCAAGGGUAUGGCUGUUCGCCAUUUAAAGUGGUACGCGAGCUGGGUUUAGAACGUCGUGAGACAGUUCGGUCCCUAUCUGCCGUGGGCGCUGGAGAACUGAGGGGGGCUGCUCCUAGUACGAGAGGACCGGAGUGGACGCAUCACUGGUGUUCGGGUUGUCAUGCCAAUGGCACUGCCCGGUAGCUAAAUGCGGAAGAGAUAAGUGCUGAAAGCAUCUAAGCACGAAACUUGCCCCGAGAUGAGUUCUCCCUGACCCUUUAAGGGUCCUGAAGGAACGUUGAAGACGACGACGUUGAUAGGCCGGGUGUGUAAGCGCAGCGAUGCGUUGAGCUAACCGGUACUAAUGAACCGUGAGGCUUAACCUU